GCUCCUCCUGGCGGGCGCGGCGCGGCGGCCUCGGGGUGCCUAGGCUCAGGUGGCCGGGAGGGGGAAGGCUCAGUCGCUGGGAGCCGGGCGGGGAACGCAGGCGGCGGCAGGAUGAACAGCAUCAAGAAUGUGCCGGCGCGGGUGCUGAGCCGCAGGCCGGGCCACAGCCUGGAGGCCGAGCGCGAGCAGUUCGACAAGACCCAGGCCAUCAGCAUCAGCAAAGCCAUCAACAGCCAGGAGGCCCCCGUGAAGGAGAAGCAUGCCCGGCGCAUCAUUCUGGGUACACACCACGAGAAGGGAGCCUUCACCUUCUGGUCCUAUGCCAUUGGUCUUCCGUUGCCCAGCAGUGCCAUUCUCAGCUGGAAGUUCUGCCACGUCCUCCACAAGGUCUUACGUGAUGGACACCCCAAUGUGCUACAUGACUGCCAGCGGUACCGGAGCAACAUUCGGGAGGUCGGAGAUCUGUGGGGGCAUUUGCACGACCGAUACGGACAGCUGGUGAACGUCUACACCAAAUUGUUGUUGACCAAGAUCUCCUUCCACCUCAAGCACCCCCAGUUCCCUGCGAGCCUGGAGGUGACAGAUGAGGUGCUGGAAAAGGCGGCUGGCACCGACGUCAACAACAUCUUCCAGCUCACCGUAGAGAUGUUUGAUUACAUGGACUGUGAGCUGAAGCUCUCUGAAUCAGUGUUCCGGCAGCUCAACACAGCCAUCGCCGUGUCCCAGAUGUCCUCGGGCCAGUGCCGCCUGGCCCCACUCAUCCAGGUCAUCCAAGACUGCAGCCCCCUCUACCACUACACGGUGAAGCUGCUGUUCAAGCUGCACUCCUGUCUCCCAGCAGACACCCUGCAAGGCCACAGGGACCGGUUCCACGAGCAGUUUCACAGCCUCAGAAACUUCUUCCGCAGAGCUUCUGACAUGCUCUACUUCAAGCGCCUCAUCCAGAUCCCCCGGCUGCCUGAGGGACCCCCCAACUUCCUACGGGCCUCAGCCCUGGCUGAGCACAUCAAGCCCGUGGUAGUGAUUCCUGAGGAGACCCCAGAAGAUGAAGAGCCGGAGAAUCUCAUUGAGAUCAGCACUGGGCCUCCUGCCGGGGAGCCAGCGGUGGUGGCUGACCUCUUUGACCAGACGUUUGGACCCCCCAAUGGGCCCUUGAAGGACGACAGGGACCUCCAGAUCGAGGCCUUAAAGAGGGAGGUGGAGAUGCUUCGUGGGGAGCUGGAAAAGAUCAAGCUGGAGGCCCAGCGCUACAUCUCACAGCUGAAGGGCCAGGUCAACUCUCUGGAGGCUGAGCUGGAGGAGCAGCGGAAGCAGAAGCAGAAGGCCCUGGUAGACAAUGAGCAGCUCCGCCACGAGCUGGCCCAGCUGCGGACCGUUCAGCAGGAAGGCGAGCGGAGCCACAGCCUGCGAGAGGAGGCCGAGAGGAGGGCCAGUGCCACAGAGGCGCGCUACAGCAAGCUGAAAGAGAAGCACGGCGAGUUGGUCAGCGCACACGCGGAGCUGCUGCGGAAGAAUGCAGACACAGCCAAACAGCUGACAGUGACACAGCAGAGCCAGGAGGAGGUGGCACGGGUGAAGGAGCAGCUGGCCUUCCAGAUGGAGCAGGUGAAGCGGGAGUCCGAGCUGAAGCUGGAGGAGCAGAGUGACCAGCUGGAGAAGGUCAAGAGGGAGCUGGAGGCCAAGUCUGGGGAGCUGGCCCGCAUGCAGGUGUCCCUGAGACGCAUGGAGCAGAGUGGAUCUGAGCUGAGCUCACAGCUGGAGGUGCUGAGCACAGAGAAGGACACACUGAGUGGGGCGGUGCGGCAGCGGGAGGCCGACCUGCUGGCGGCCCAGAGCCUGGUGCAAGAGAAAGAGGCAGCGCUGAGCCAGGAGCAGCAGCACAGCUCCCGGGAGAGGAGCGAGUUGCAAGGGCGGCUGGCAGAGAAGGAGUCACAGGAGCAGAGGCUGCGACAGAAGCUGCUGGAUGAGCAGUUUGCGGUGCUCAGGGGUGCUGCUGCUGAGGCCGAGGCCAUCCUGCAGGAUGCUGUGAGCAAGCUGGAUGACCCCCUGCACCUGCGCUGCACCAGCUCUCCGGACUACCUGGUGAGCAGAGCCCAGGCAGCCUUGGACUCCGUGAGUGCCCUGGAAGAGGGCCAUACCCAGUACCUCACCUGUUUGGCAGAUGCCUCCGCCCUGGUGGCAGCCCUGACCCGCUUUUCCCACCUGGCUGCGGAUACCAUCAUCAAUGGCAGUGCCACCUCCCACCUGGCACCCACUGACCCUGCUGAUCGCCUGAUGGAUACCUGCAGGGAGUGUGGGGCCCGGGCACUGGAGCUCAUGAGGCAGCUGCAGGACCAGCAGGCUGUGCAGCGGGCACAGCCCGGCCUGGUGCGGAGCCCACUGCAGGGCAUCCUCCGGCUGGGCCAGGAGCUGAAACCUAAGAGCCUAGAUGUGAGGCAGGAGGAACUGGGGGCCAUGGUUGACAAGGAGAUGGCAGCUACAUCUGCAGCUAUUGAAGAUGCCGUGCGUAGGAUCGAGGAUAUGAUGAACCAGGCCCGCCACGCCAGCUCGGGGGUGAAGCUGGAGGUGAAUGAGAGGAUCCUCAACUCCUGCACCGACCUGAUGAAGGCGAUCCGGCUGCUGGUGAUGACGUCUACCAGCCUGCAGAAGGAGAUCGUGGAGAGCGGCAGGGGGGCGGCCACACAGCAGGAAUUUUAUGCCAAGAACUCGCGCUGGACCGAAGGCCUCAUAUCAGCCUCCAAGGCUGUGGGCUGGGGAGCCACGCAGCUGGUAGAGUCAGCUGACAGGGUGGUGCUGCACAUGGGCAAGUAUGAAGAGCUCAUUGUCUGUUCCCACGAGAUCGCAGCCAGUACUGCCCAGUUGGUGGCGGCUUCCAAGGUGAAGGCCAACAAGCAUAGCACCCACCUGAGCCGCCUGCAGGAGUGUUCCCGCACUGUCAACGAGAGGGCUGCCAGCGUGGUGGCCUCUACCAAGUCAGGCCAGGAGCAGAUUGAGGACAGAGACACUAUGGACUUCUCUGGCCUGUCCCUCAUCAAGCUAAAGAAGCAGGAGAUGGAGACUCAGGUGCGUGUCCUAGAGCUGGAGACAACACUGGAGGCUGAGCGCAAGCGGCUCGGGGAACUACGAAAGCGGCAUUAUGCGCUGGCAGGAGUGGGGACAAUGCCCGGUGAGGAGGAGCCUGGCAAGCCCAGCGCUGCCCCUCGAAAUGCUACCACCAAGAAGCCGCCCCUGGCCCAGAAGCCCAGCGUGGUCCCCAGACAGGAACACCAGGUACCAGGCAUCAGUGUUGGGCUGGGGGGCGAUGCCCCCACCAUGGGCAGCGUGCUCAACACAAAGGAUGGCAUCUACCCAGCUCAACUCGUGAACUACUAGGUCCCUUAGGGGUCUGGCGGGGCAGCUGGUGGACACGUCUGGGACUCCUGUGGCCAAGGGGCCUUGCCCCUGCACCUGGUGCCUGAGCUCCCAGCCCAGGGUCCUACAGCUUUACAACCACAUUGCCAGAUAAUGGCCCUGGACAGCAACAGCAGGCCCAGUCUGGCAGCCCUCACGAUAUCAACCAAGCUUGUGUCUCACCGAGGCCCCUGCUGGGCUGCAAAUGUCCCCAACAGCAGGCUGGCAGCAGAGGUAUUGGAGGUGGGUGGCACCACCUGCUUGAGUCACAGAACAUGGAAACCCCACCUGAUUGGUGUGGCAGUGAAUCAUCCUUUACAGCUCCAUUUUCUUUUAAGAACAAUUACAAUACAGUAGAGUUCAAGUCCAGAAGCAGGAGUAUACAGUAACUGAGGACAAAAGUUGGUGGCCUUGUCUAUGGGCCACUGGAACAAACCCUUUUUCAGCUCUGCCUUGAUUCUGUCACUGUGAUGGCAGCCAGCUGACAGUUGGUCAGAGGUCAGGCCCUGGCUGCCAGAGAGUUGACAGACAAGGACUAGGCCAGAAGUUCCAUCAAUGAGCACACAGGCCUUGUCAAUAGGUGCGUGGUGUUGCUUUCCCCCAGCUGGAGACCUGGGAGUCAGUACAUGUGGCACAGAGAUGAGAUCCCAAAGGGAACAGAAGGGGCGAUGCAGGUGGCCAGAACAUACCCUCCACCUCGAUCCUGCAGGUGAGCUUUCUCCAAACCCUUCUGCUGCCCUGACACCUAGAGCACCACUUGGCCCUGGCGCAGCCACAGGCUAACCAGAGGCAGGAAAUAUUGGCUAAGAGAAUCCUGGUUCAAGGUGGCCAGACUUUUCUUUCACCUGUAGUGAAACAAUGAACUUGAACAAGCCCUUCUGAGAAUGCUGAGCGCCAGGGGCUCUGCCCAGCCCCUUGCAGGUUUCUGAGUCCUGGCACCUGGUGAAGCUAAGGCACAGCAGGGCACCCGCAGGUGUGACCAUGUACUGCCUGCAUGAAAGGAAUUUGCAUUCACUUCAUCUGCAUUUCUAUUUGCUCAAAACAAUAUUUGUUUUUUAUAAAAUUUCCCUGAAUGGUCUUCGGAGUGUCAAAGUUUUCUUUCCCAAUAUAAAACAAAAUUACACAGGUAGUAAAAAUAUUGGGGGAGUUUUUCUUCAUAGAAACCCUUGGGGAGGGUGGCGCCUGUGGCUCA